rnacentral:rRNA from 1 species
UACGGAGGAUGCGAGCGUUAUCCGGAUUUAUUGGGUUUAAAGGGUGCGUAGGCGGCCUGCCAAGUCAGCGGUAAAAUUGCGGGGCUCAACCCCGUACAGCCGUUGAAACUGCCGGGCUCGAGUGGGCGAGAAGUAUGCGGAAUGCGUGGUGUAGCGGUGAAAUGCAUAGAUAUCACGCAGAACCCCGAUUGCGAAGGCAGCAUACCGGCGCCCGACUGACGCUGGGGCACGAAAGUGCGGGGAUCAAACAGG